UUCAGGGAGAUACUGUCUUGGAUUGUUCAAGUUUUUCUUCCCUUCUUUGUCUUACAAACUAUCUUAAUUACACUUGGGAUAGUCUUUAAGAAACUACCUCUGCAAGAUAUUGUGAUUCUUAGAGUUUGGAAAUUAUGGAGUAAAGUUGUUGCUGGACCUUACUGUUGGUAGGAGACUAUUAUUGAGGAUUUGGGUCGCUUGCAAUCGCAGGAAAAAAUUAAUCGUGUGGUUGAAAUGCUAAUUACAAGAAGCCAAGGUUCUAUAAGCAAGCCAGGCGUUAUUGGAAUUUCAAGUGCGAGUACUUUGACCUUCAUUGCUUAUUAGUAGGUGCAAUGCUACUUCGGUCUUGCGGAGUCCUUAAUUUGUAUCAUAAUCGAGUUUGAGUGGCAGUAACUGGUUUAGUCAAUUGAAUUUCAGAUGCUGAUUUGUUUUCUUUUCGUCUUGUUUGCUUGAAAUCGGGAAUUUCUUUGCUUUCCAACCCAUUAAGCUUGGACUAGUAACAACCAACUGAUUUCUACCCCUUCAUUUUUGCAGGGGAAAGGACUUUGGGAUGAAAUUCAGGAGCUUAACUCUCGAUUUCUAAAUCAAGAUGCAUACAUUGAGGAAUGGGGAAUGGUGAAUAAUAAGAUGGAAUCCUGCACUCCAAAGUAUUACAAUGGCUCCCUCCAUUCAAGAAACAAAGGAGCAAAGAUGACCUUGGGAUCCUAAUUCUUCUGUACUCCUGCUCAUUCACCAAAAGAGCAAGCCAAGCAGAGUUGUUGGGUGAUCUUAGUGCUUAUUCCAUCAUCAUAGAUGACGGUUGAAGAAGGUUACAUGAAGAACAUCAAGAAGAAGUGUAUUCAUUAGUCUGAUCAACUCCAAUAUUGAAACUGAUGCUCAUGGUUCAAGUUGGUGUAUAAAAGUGUUUUUAAGUACUGUGAUGUCAUUUUUUUGUCGAGCAUAGUCAAUUUCAGUCCAUAGCUACAGUUUCAAUUUAGCUUUGUCAAUGGUUGAUGGAGAAGUCCUGAAUCCUGAUUAUAUUUGAUUUGGUUCCGUGCAAACACUUAAGUUACAAUCGA